AAGAAAAGGCCAGCCAGCAAAUAGAACCCCAUCUCCUUCCUUCAUUGGUGAGCAGUCUGUCUUUCCCACCCCACUCAGGGCCCUUCAUACUUUUCCCCUUAAAAAGAGCCAGGAUCACAUCCCCAGUCCCACUGGGCCCACAGAUUUCGGGGAAAUGCCUCCCUCUUCCAUUUCAUCCCAAAGGGAAGUCUUCCUGACCCCUGGCUUCCCCAAUCAGCGGGGUCUCAGGGUCUCACUAUGUUCCCCAGGCUGGCAUCAACCUUCCGGCUCAGUCAUGCAUCUACCUCAAGCCUCUGCUGGGGCUGAAGCUACCUACAUAAUUCCUUAUCUGCAUUCAGGCUCCAACUUGUACCACUGGGGUGUGAAUCUUUCUCUGCACCUGCAAGGCCUGGCUUCAAACAUGAUUUCCAUGAAUAAAUCCUUCCCUGGGCACACGUCA